ACUGUCAGGUGGGCAGUUUGACUGGGGCGGUCGCCUCCCAAAAGGUAACGGAGGCGCUCAAAGGUUCUCUCAGUACGGUCGGAAAUCGUACGUAGAGUGUAAAGGCAAAAGAGAGCUUGAUUGCAAGACAUACAGGUCGAGCAAGGAUGAAAAUCGGACUUAGUGAUCCGGUGGUUCUGCGUGGAAGGGCCAUCGCUCAACGGAUAAAAGCUACCCUGGGGAUAACAGGCUUAUCUCCCCCAAGAGUCCACAUCGACGGGGAGGUUUGGCACCUCGAUGUCGGCUCAUCACAUCCUGGGGCUGUAGUAGGUCCCAAGGGUUGGGCUGUUCGCCCAUUAAAGUGGUACGCGAGCUGGGUUCAGAACGUCGUGAGACAGUUCGGUCCCUAUCCGUCGCAGGCGUAGGAAAUUUGAGAAGACCUGUCCUUAGUA
rnacentral:rRNA from 1 species